rnacentral:rRNA from 1 species
AGGAUGAACGCUGGCGGCGUGCCUAACACAUGCAAGUCGAACGUCCUGUCUCGCAAGAGGCAGGGAGUGGCGGACGGGUGAGUACCACGUGGGUCAUCUACCGUGAGGUGAGGAAUACCGGCGAGAAAUCGCCGACAAGACCGCAUAGGCUCGAUGCAAGUCGAGCAAAGCUCUUUCGAGAGAGGGAGCGCCACACGAGGAGCCUGCGCCCGAUUAGCUAGCUGGUGGAGUAACGGUUCACCAGGGCGACGAUCGGUAGCUGGUCUGAGAGGACGAUCAGCCACACUGGGAUUGAGAACGGCCCAGACUCCUACGGGGGCAGCAGUGAGGAAUUUUCGUCAAUGGGGGCAACCCUGAACGAGCAACGCCGCGUGCAGGAAGAAGGUUUUCGGAUCGUAAACUGCUUUUCUCGGGGAAGAGAACGGACGGUACCCGAGGAAUCAGCCCCGGCUAACUACGCGCCAGCAGCCGCGGU